AAAACAUUCAACACGGUGCAGGGAAAUGCUCAGAAGUGCACCGGUUGGAAACAUGCAGUCACGCCUUGGAUGGGACCCCGUAUUUAUAGGCGAAAAGAAAAAUCCCUUGCCCUUCAUUCUUUUCUGCUUUGAACGGCAGCGUUGGAUGACAUUCCGCCAUCCAAAUGAGGAGUUGCAGACUGGAUGGAUGGAGACUUGGGUUUGUCUUGGAUCUUCUUCAACCCUUUCGUCUUCCCGACGUUCGAAAUCUUGAAGGAAUCUGCUCAAGACGGAGCUGGGAAUUUUUUCCAACGAAGGCUGGCUGAAAUUAUGAUGAUGAUUAACUCAACCACCCGCUCCCCUUUCUUUAUAAAACAGUGUUAAUUGUAAUCAGGAGUGGCAACUUAUCAGUUCCCUGCACUUUCUGAAAACUCACUGCAGAAAAGAAGCAAUUA